GCUCCCGUAACUCAAUGGGAGAGCGGUUGACUUCUAUAGAAUAUUCUGUCUUGAAUUCAUCAUAAGGUUGUGGGUUCGAGUCCCACCGGGAGUG